rnacentral:rRNA from 1 species
GAUGAACGUUGGCGGCGUGCCUAAUACAUGCAAGUCGAACGAGGACCCUUGUAUUCGUACGGGGAUCUCCUAGUGGCGAACGGGUGAGUAACGCGUUGGUGAUCUGCCUCGAAGAAGGGGACAACAGUUCGAAAGAACUGCUAAUACCCUAUGUGGUCACUCGGGUUAAAGGCCUUGUGACUAAAGGAGUAAUCCGCUUCGGGAGGAGCCUGCGUCCCAUCAGCUAGUUGGUAGGGUAAUGGCCUACCAAGGCUGCGACGGGUAGGGGACCUGAGAGGGUGGUCCCCCACAAUGGAACUGAAACACGGUCCAUACACCUACGGGUGGCAGCAGUAGGGAAUAUUGCCCAAUGGACGAAAGUCUGAGGCAGCAACGCCGCGUGCGCGAUGAAGGCCUUCGGGUUGUAAAGCGCUUUUGCGUGGGAAGAGAAAGGACGGUACCACGCGAAUAAGGAUCGGCUAACUACGUGCCAGCAGCCGCGGUAAUACGUAGGAUUCGAACGUUAUCCGGAUUUACUGGGCGUAAAGCGCGUGCAGGCGGUUUGGAAGGGUUGGAUGUGAAAGCUCCGGGCUCAACCCGGAGAGGUCAUUCAAAACUACCAGACUAGAGGACGGUAGAGGGAGGUGGAAUUCCGGGUGUAGUGGUGAAAUGCGUAGAUAUCCGGAGGAACACCAGUGGCGAAGGCGGCCUCCUGGGCCGUUCCUGACGCUCAGACGCGAAAGCUAGGGGAGCAAACGGGAUUAGAAACCCCGGUAGUCCUAGCUGUAAACGAUGUAGACUUGGUGUUGGUGGCCUUAAAACCAUCAGUGCCGUAGCUAACGCGAUAAGUCUACCGCCUGGGGAUUACGACCGCAAGGUUA